rnacentral:rRNA from 1 species
AACGAACGCUGGCGGCAUGCCUAACACAUGCAAGUCGAACGAGACCUUCGGGUCUAGUGGCGCACGGGUGCGUAACGCGUGGGAACCUGCACUUAGGUUCGGAAUAACUCCCCGAAAGGGGUGCUAAUACCGGAUAAUGUCUUCGGACCAAAGAUUUAUCGCCUUUGGAUGGGCCCGCGUUGGAUUCGCUAGUUGGUAGGGUAAAAGCCUACCAAGGCGACGAUCCAUAGCUGGUCUGAGAGGAUGAUCAGCCACACUGGGACUGAGACACGGCCCAGACUCCUACGGGAGGCAGCAGUGGGGAAUAUUGCACAAUGGGCGAAAGCCUGAUCCAGCAAUGCCGCGUGAGUGAUGAAGGCCUUAGGGUUGUAAAGCUCUUUUACCCGGGAUGAUAAUGACAGUACCGGGAGAAUAAGCUCCGGCUAACUCCGUG